rnacentral:rRNA from 1 species
CCUACGGGUGGCAGCAGUGGGGAAUAUUGCACAAUGGGGGAAACCCUGAUGCAGCGACGCCGCGUGAGUGAAGAAGUAAUUCGUUAUGUAAAGCUCUAUCAGCAGGGAAGAAAAUGACGGUACCUGAGUAAGAAGCCCCGGCUAACUACGUGCCAGCAGCCGCGGUAAUACGUAGGGGGCAAGCGUUAUCCGGAUUUACUGGGUGUAAAGGGAGCGUAGACGGCUAAUCAAGUCAGAAGUGAAAACCCAGGGCUCAACCUUGGGACUGCUUUUGAAACUGAGUAGCUAGAGUGCAGGAGAGGUAAGCGGAAUUCCUAGUGUAGCGGUGAAAUGCGUAGAUAUUAGGAGGAACACCAGUGGCGAAGGCGGCUUACUGGACUGUAACUGACGUUGAGGCUCGAAAGCGUGGGGAGCAAACAGGAUUAGAUACCCCAGUAGUC